rnacentral:rRNA from 1 species
CGAGAUGAGUCUUCCCUGGGCCCUUGAGGCCCCUGAAGGGACGUUUAAGACUAAGACGUUGAUAGGCUGGGUGUGUAAGCGUAGCGAUACGUUGAGCUAACCAGUACUAAUGACCCGAGAGGCUUAACCUUACAACACCGAAGGUGUUU